GAUGAACGCUGGCGGCGUGCCUAAUACAUGCAAGUCGAGCGAACAGACGAGGAGCUUGCUCCUCUGACGUUAGCGGCGGACGGGUGAGUAACACGUGGAUAACCUACCUAUAAGACUGGGAUAACUUCGGGAAACCGGAGCUAAUACCGGAUAAUAUAUUGAACCGCAUGGUUCAAUAGUGAAAGACGGUUUUGCUGUCACUUAUAGAUGGAUCCGCGCCGCAUUAGCUAGUUGGUAAGGUAACGGCUUACCAAGGCGACGAUGCGUAGCCGACCUGAGAGGGUGAUCGGCCACACUGGAACUGAGACACGGUCCAGACUCCUACGGGAGGCAGCAGUAGGGAAUCUUCCGCAAUGGGCGAAAGCCUGACGGAGCAACGCCGCGUGAGUGAUGAAGGUCUUCGGAUCGUAAAACUCUGUUAUUAGGGAAGAACAAAUGUGUAAGUAACUAUGCACGUCUUGACGGUACCUAAUCAGAAGGCCACGGCUAACUACGUG
rnacentral:rRNA from 1 species